rnacentral:rRNA from 1 species
UACGAGGGGGGCAAGCGUUGUUCGGAAUUAUUGGGCGUAAAGGGUGCGUUGGCGGUUUGGUAAGUCUCUUGUGAAAUCUAUGGGCUCAACUCAUAGUCUGCAAGGGAAACUGCCGGGCUUGAGUGUGGGAGAGGUGAGUGGAAUUUCCGGUGUAGCGGUGAAAUGCGUAGAUAUCGGAAGGAACACCUGUGGCGAAAGCGGCUCACUGGACCACAACUGACGCUGAUGCACGAAAGCUAGGGGAGCAAACAGG